GGAGGGGUGCCCGAGCGGUUAAAGGGGGCAGACUGUAAAUCUGUUGGCGAAAGCCUACGAUGGUUCGAAUCCAUCCCCCUCCACCA
rnacentral:tRNA from 1 species